rnacentral:lncRNA from 1 species
UUAUUAUUAACAACAAAUAUUUUAUUGCGGAAACUGGGGAGAAGCAUGCCUCCUGUCCCCAGGGAGAAGGCAGGAGCGAAUGGGCAAGGGCAAGGGAAGGGCUUUAAGGGAGAGGAGAGGUGGGCCUGGGGCUCGCUGAGUGGUCGGCUGGAGCAGUGGGAAGUGCCCCGGUGGGGCCGGUGGCUGGUGUGGGGGUAGAACCGCGGUCAGUAGGGUGAAGGUGCUGAGGGCUGGAGGCUCAGGAGGUGGUGGCAGGGGCCUGACUCUUGGAGCCGGGCAGCAGGCUGGGUGUGCUCAGAGGCUCAUGGCCCACCUGGCGAAGCUCCUUCCAGGUGCAGGCAAGCCUGAGGCGUCAGGG